rnacentral:lncRNA from 1 species
AUGAGGUUGCUUCUAGAAUUAGCCUUAAAAACUAUGUGUAAAGCCUCACUUUUUGUUCUACAUAUACUUCCUAUGCUGUUCAAAAUCAAAUGUAGAUGCCAGUGCCAUUCUGCCCUAAACUGUAGCAUGAUUUCACUUGUUGUUAUGAUUGAGCCUCAUGGCUCUGCUUCUGGCAGACGUGGACGUAAGACUCCUCGAGAGUCAGAUACUCUCGAGGAGCGAGAAAGAAAGAGGCUGCGAGAUAUCUUUGCAGAACCAUCUGACAAAGAGUCUUUUAAGGGGUUCACGGAGAGAAUGGAGGAAGAGCUGGUUAGCUCGGAAGAGGAUGAGAUGGAUUGGACUCGGGUAAGGGAGGAGUUGGGUGCCACUGGCAAUAAUGGGAUGGAAGAUGAAUGGGGACCUUCAGGAUUAGACCCAUGGACAAGCUGGAGGGAUGGGACGGGAUCCACAGCUGGGGAUGCUGUGGGGCGUAGUCAGAGGUGUUCCAGCUCUGAUGAGGAAAGUGAUGAGGAAACGCCCGGGUUAAGGAGGGCAGCUGAUAGUGAUGAGGAGUUGGGUGCCACUGGCAAUAAUGGGAUGGAAGAUGAAUGGGGACCUUCAGGAUUAGACCCAUGGACAAGCUGGAGGGAUGGGACGGGAUCCACAGCUGGGGAUGCUGUGGGGCGUAGUCAGAGGUGUUCCAGCUCUGAUGAGGAAAGUGAUGAGGAAACGCCCGGGUUAAGGAGGGCAGCUGAUAGUGAUGAGGAUUUGUAACUGGCAUAAAAUGAGGCUUGGGAGCAAUUGCAAAUUGCGUUGGGCAAGGUAAUCUGGACGAACGCUUGGGAUCUGUGUGGGAUGCUUUCCUGAAGACUGGUGUGUUUUCGUGUGCUGAUACGUAAGUUGUUUUGGAAUUUGGGUUCAGACGGCGGGAGGAAUUGUGUGGGCUUUUGUUUGUGCAAAACCUCUGCUUAAUCUCAAUAGCUUUGACCUUCCGUCGUCUUCUUGACGGACGCCAUCUGCUACUCUGGAUUUACGGACUGAAAACUGACUACGGGCUCGCUUUCUCCUAUUGAACUUGGAAAACUGCAAACGUCUGAUUCUGCCUCUCGACCUACGGAACGAACUGGGACUACGCUACUGCUUCAAUCCUUGGCUGCUGAGUUUGUAUUGGAAAUUUGUCUUGCUGUGUGAAGGAGUGACUCCUAGUUACUCAAAACAUAGUGCUGGCAGCAGAGAGGCAUCUGCUGCCAAUUAGUUGCAUUCUUUUGAACUCUUUGUUUCCCAGCUUCUGCUUGUUUUUCCCCAGGCUGAAGCAAGCUGUUUUGAUUUUACCCGGAUUAAACUCCGGUUUAAUCCGGUUUAUCUUUUGAACGUUUUUCUUGCCCCUUUUUGUUUUUAAAGGCUAAAGUUGCCUUGCCCUUGUCUUUUACGGGCAUUUUGAGUUCUGUAAAUCCAAUAAACUCUGUUAUCUUUGAUCUUGUGGCGUUCUGUCCUUGACACUUGUCCAACAUCACCUGAAGUUUCUUCUUUCUUUCUUCUCUGAACAUCUGAACCAAAGUUGGGACAAAAAAAAUGAAAUACAGUAGAGUCUCACUUAUCCAAGCUAAACGGACUGGCAGAAACUUGGAUAAGCAAAUAUCUUGGAUAAUAAGGAGGGAUUAAGGAAAAGCCUAUUAAACAUCAAAUUAUUUAUUUAUUACAGUAUUUAUAUUCUGCCCUUCUCACCUCGAAGGGGACUCAGGGCGGAUCACAUUACACAUAUAGGCAAACAUUCAAUGCCUUAACAUAGAACAAAGACAGAGACAAACACAGGCUCUGAGCUGGGCUCGAACGCAUGACCUCUUGGUCAGAGUGAUUUGUUGCAGCUGGCUGCAACCAGCUGCUCACCAGCCUGAGCCACAGGCUGUUAUGAUUUUAUGUUAUUGUUUUUGUUAUGAUUUUACAAAUUAAGCACCAAAACAUCCUGUUAUACAACAAAUUUGACAGAAAAAGUAUUUCAAUACGCAGUAAUGUUAUGUUGUAAUUACUGCAUUUACGAAUUUAGCACCAAAAUAUCACGAUGUAUUGAAAACAUUGACUUAAAAAAUGGCUUGGAUAAUCCAGAAACUUGGAUAAGCGAGACUUGGAUAAGUGAGACUUUACUGUACUAAAAAAAAACAACUGAUAAAGCUAUGACGAGUGAAAGGAGCAGGAAGAAGAAAGGAAGAAGGGAAAGAAGAGAAGGAGGAAGCAGCUCAGGAUUAUAAUUACUCUGAAAUGUUGAGGAGGUUUACUAGUAGAAUCACAUUGGAGGGACCUAGAAAUUAGGUGUUCUCUCUAGGAAUUUCUAGGCCCUCAAAUAUAACUGAAGAAAGUUGAUAAACAUCAUCAUCAAUUUUAUUUCUUACUUACCUCUACUUGUGGCUCAAGGUGGGUUACAACAUAGCUAAAAAUACGUAAUCAUCAUAAACAUUACAUAAAAUAUACACGUGAAAACUAUUUCUACAAUAUAUAUAUAUAUAUAUAUAUAUAUAUAUAUAUAUAUAUAUAUCAAAAUAAUAAGGAUCAAAGAAAAAGGAUUAAAAUAUAGAAAACACUAGACAUGUGUUUAAAAUGCAUAAUUAAAACUGGGUAGACUUGGAGAAACUAGAGAUUCCCAGACAUCAAAUCCACAAAAGUCAAAUCUGCAAAUAUAAAGGACCAACUGAACACUUCUAAAAUAAAAGAGCAGUAGAAACAGGCACCAUCCUAAAGACCAGUAUGAGUAGUAUAUUGUUGCUACCUUCUUAGGUAUAGGGUUGAACAAUUUGCAGACCUUCUGCCUGUUCCACAGCAUAAAAGGAUGUGGGUCAGAGGUGCACAGCUGGACAUGAUGAAGUGGAGCAGGUGGAUGUAAUAAUAGAAAGCACUGCUGAUCCAAGAGACAAGCAAUUCUGAAUGCUUUCUUUUAGUAGGCUUCCAUAGAGGUAGAAAACAAAUACAAUGUACACCUUGAACUUAAAUUCAUGGCUUGCUGCUGCCACCAACUGAGGAAUAAAAUAUAACUCAUCCUGAAGGAAAAAGUCCUCAAUGCAGAACAUAACAAAGUGAACAAACAGUCACAAUGCAAUAUUAGAAUCUGUCUGUAUAUUUUUUUCUGUUCAUAUGUAUAUGUAUGUAUAUGUAUAUGUACAUAUAGUGAGCUAAAGUGUUAAGCUCCUCCAUGUCUUUAGGAAUAAAAUAACAGGUUUGCUUUUUUGCUGUUUUUCAGUUCACAUAUGACCACAAUAAAAUAACAAUGCCAUAAGCAUUUUUUUUUUGGUCGUUGAGAGUUUAACCCCUGG